rnacentral:tRNA from 1 species
GCCAGUUUAGCAAAGCGGUUAAUGCGUCGGUCUUGUAAACUGGAGGUCCUGGGUUCAAAUCCCAGAAUUGGCA